rnacentral:rRNA from 1 species
CGGGUUGCAGCAGUGGGGAAUUUUGGACAAUGGGCGCAAGCCUGAUCCAGCAAUGCCGCGUGAGUGAAGAAGGCCUUCGGGUUGUAAAGCUCUUUUGUCAGGGAAGAAACGGUAUCUCCUAAUACGGGGUGCUAAUGACGGUACCUGAAGAAUAAGCACCGGCUAACUACGUGCCAGCAGCCGCGGUAAUACGUAGGGUGCAAGCGUUAAUCGGAAUUACUGGGCGUAAAGCGUGCGCAGGCGGUUAUAUAAGUCAGAUGUGAAAUCCCCGGGCUCAACCUGGGAACUGCAUUUGAGACUGUAUGGCUAGAGUGUGUCAGAGGGGGGUAGAAUUCCACGUGUAGCAGUGAAAUGCGUAGAUAUGUGGAGGAAUACCGAUGGCGAAGGCAGCCCCCUGGGAUAACACUGACGCUCAUGCACGAAAGCGUGGGGAGCAAACAGGAUUAGAUACCCCAGU